rnacentral:rRNA from 1 species
UACGUAGGGUGCGAGCGUUAAUCGGAAUUACUGGGCGUAAAGCGUGCGCAGGCGGUUUUGUAAGCCAGAUGUGAAAUCCCCGGGCUUAACCUGGGAAUGGCAUUUGGGACUGCAAGGCUCGAGUGCGGCAGAGGAGACUGGAAUUCCUGGUGUAGCAGUGAAAUGCGUAGAUAUCAGGAGGAACACCGAUGGCGAAGGCAGGUCUCUGGGCUGACACUGACGCUCAUGCACGAAAGCG